AUGUAAACUUGGCCUUUGAUUCACGUCGGCUUUCUUAUGAGCUGAGAUGAGAUAACCCCCAUAACACUUGCCCCCCACUUCUGAUCUCAAAAAAUUAUUUUGGACAAAAGAAGUAGCCCAAGAAAUAAAUUUUCAGUUUGUUCGAGGUGGCGAAUUUGGACCAUUUGAUUUUUUAAGUGAAUUGCUCGUAAUCUUGAGU
rnacentral:lncRNA from 1 species